rnacentral:rRNA from 1 species
GACGAACGCUGGCCGCGUGCUUAACACAUGCAAGUCGAACGGAAAGGCCCUGCUUGCAGGGUACUCGAGUGGCGAACGGGUGAGCAACACGUGGGUGAUCUGCCCUGCACUUCGGGAUAAGCCUGGGAAACUGGGUCUAAUACCGGAUAGGAGCCAUUUUUAGUGUGAUGGUUGGAAAGUUUUUUCGGUGUAGGAUGAGCUCGCGGCCUAUCAGCUUGUUGGUGGGGUAAUGGCCUACCAAGGCGGCGACGGGUAGCCGGCCUGAGAGGGUGGACGGCCACAUUGGGACUGAGAUACGGCCCAGACUCCUACGGGAGGCAGCAGUGGGGAAUAUUGCACAAUGGGCGCAAGCCUGAUGCAGCGACGCCGCGUGGGGGAUGACGGCCUUCGGGUUGUAAACUCCUUUCGCUAGGGACGAAGCUUUUUGUGACGGUACCUAGAUAAGAAGCACCGGCUAACUACGUG